ACAGUCGUGGUUCAGUGGUAGAAUUUUCGCCUUCCGAGCAGGAGACCCGGGUUUGAUUCCUGGCCAAUGUG
rnacentral:tRNA from 1 species